UAAUUUCGCUAGGGGUGCCCUCGGGCUGAGAAGGAAAUAUCCUAACCCUUGAACCUGAUGUAGUUAGUACUACCGUAGGAAAGCAAUUUAUAAGACUU
rnacentral:ncRNA from 1 species